CUGCUCAAUGAUUUUUUAAAUUGCUGUGGUAUUUUGACUAUACAAAGGUAUUGAAAUAAGAUUUUAAAUUGAAUGCUAAGAGAAUGGAAUUUCAGGGAAAAACUUUAUUUAAACUAAUAAUUAAAGUUUUUUUAAUUUGUGCAGAAACAAUUAUAUAAAUUAAGGACAAGAAGACCCUAUGAAUUUAUAAAACUUAUUUUUUUUAUUAAUAUAACUAAUAAGUUUUAGCUGGGGCGGCAAGAAAAUAUAAAAAACUUUUCAUUAUUAAAAUGAUCCAUUAUUAAUGAUUAAAUGAAAAAAUACUCUAGGGAUAACAGCGUUAUAUUUUUUGAUAGAUCAUAUUGACAAAAAAGUUUGCGACCUCGAUGUUGGAUUAGGAUACUUUUUUAAUGCAGAUAUUAAAAAAAGAAGUUUGUUCAACUUUUAAAUUCCUACUUGAUCUGAGUUCAGACCGG
rnacentral:rRNA from 1 species